CCCUUAGAUGUUCUGGGCCGCACGCGCGCUACACUGAUGCAUUCAACGAGUUUCUUCCUGGUCCGAGAGGAAUGGGUAACCUUUUGAAAGUGCAUCGUGAUAGGGAUAGACUAUUGCAAUUAUUGGUCUUCAACGAGGAAUUCCUAGUAGACGUAGUUCAUCAGACUGCAUCGAUUACGUCCCUGCCCUUUGUACACACCGCCCGUCGCUCCUACCGAUUUUGAGUGAUCCGGUGAACCUUUUGGACUGCGGUGUCUUCAUGGCACUCGUGGGAAGUUAAGUAAACCUUAUCACUUAGAGGAAGGAGAAGUCGUAACA
rnacentral:rRNA from 1 species